rnacentral:lncRNA from 1 species
UGCUUUAUCUUUAAAAUCUUAACUGUACUGCUUAUGUCGUAGGAGGAGGUGGUAGCAAGGGUUGUAGAAGAACUAUCAGCAUGACAAAAAGAUCUAUGGAGAUACCUCUCAAAAUCCAGCAAACUCUGAUAAGUUCUUCAUGUGUAAUGAUGCAAAGAUGUAAGCAAGCUGCACUGAAUCAUUAUACAGCAUCCAGCCAUUUGAGCUUCUGAUACAAAUGCUAGAGAAAGGAGUCGCUUUGAAUGAAAAUUUCUGUCCUGCAAGCCAAUCUGGA